GUGCUCGCUUCAGUAGUACACAUACUAAAACUGGAAUGAUACAGGGAAGAUUAGCCUGGCCUCUGCACAAGGAUGACACGCUAAUUCGUGACGCAUUCCACUGAAUC
ensembl:snRNA U6 U6 spliceosomal RNA